rnacentral:rRNA from 1 species
CUGCUCAGAUUGAACGCUGGCGGCAGGCCUAACACAUGCAAGUCGAGCGGGGUCAAGGUGCUUGCACUUUGACUUAGCGGCGGACGGGUGAGUAAUGCCUAGGAAUCUGCCUGGUAGUGGGGGACAACGUUUCGAAAGGAACGCUAAUACCGCAUACGUCCUACGGGAGAAAGCAGGGGACCUUCGGGCCUUGCGCUAUCAGAUGAGCCUAGGUCGGAUUAGCUAGUUGGUGAGGUAAUGGCUCACCAAGGCUACGAUCCGUAACUGGUCUGAGAGGAUGAUCAGUCACACUGGAACUGAGACACGGUCCAGACUCCUACGGGAGGCAGCAGUGGGGAAUAUUGGACAAUGGGCGAAAGCCUGAUCCAGCCAUGCCGCGUGUGUGAAGAAGGUCUUAGGAUCGUAAAGCACUUUAAGUUGGGAGGAAGGGCAGUAAAUUAAUACUUUGCUGUUUUGACGUUACCGACAGAAUAAGCACCGGCUAACUCUGUGCCAGCAGCCGCGGUAAUACAGAGGGUGCAAGCGUUAAUCGGAAUUACUGGGCGUAAAGCGCGCGUAGGUGGUUCGUUAAGUUGGAUGUGAAAUCCCCGGGCUCAACCUGGGAACUGCAUUCAAAACUGUCGAGCUAGAGUAUGGUAGAGGGUGGUGGAAUUUCCUGUGUAGCGGUGAAAUGCGUAGAUAUAGGAAGGAACACCAGUGGCGAAGGCGACCACCUGGACUGAUACUGACACUGAGGUGCGAAAGCGUGGGGAGCAAACAGGAUUAGAUACC